CCUACGGGAGGCAGCAGUGGGGAAUAUUGCACAAUGGGGGAAACCCUGAUGCAGCGACGCCGCGUGAGUGAAGAAGUAAUUCGUUAUGUAAAGCUCUAUCAGCAGGGAAGAAAAUGACGGUACCUGAGUAAGAAGCCCCGGCUAACUACGUGCCAGCAGCCGCGUUAAUACGUAGGGGGCAAGCGUUAUCCGGAUUUACUGGGUGUAAAGGGAGCGUAGACGGCAGUGCAAGUCUGGAGUGAAAGGCGGGGGCUCAACCCCCGGACGUCUCGGGAAACGGUACGGUGGGAGUGCAGGAGAGGGAAGGGGAAUUCCGAGGGUAGCGGUGAAAUGCGGAGAGAUGAGGAGGA
rnacentral:rRNA from 1 species